rnacentral:misc_RNA from 1 species
GAUGAAGAACGCAGCGAAAUGCGAUAAGUAAUGUGAAUUGCAGAGUUCAGUGAAUCAUCGAAUCUUUGAACGCACAUUGCGCCCAUCAGUAUUCUGUUGGGCAUGCCUGUCCGAGCGUCAUUUCAACCCUCAGGGCCCGUUCGCGGGAACUGGUGUUGGGGAUCGGCCUCCCCCCGGAGGCCGGCCCCGAAAUGCAGUGGCGGCUCUACCGCGAUCUCCUCUGUGUAGUAGCGAUACCUCGCAGCUGGAUAGUGGUGGUGCCACGCCGUAAAAUCCCAACUUUACCAAGGUUGACCUCGGAUCAGGUAGGAAUACCCGCUGAACUUAAGCAUAUCAAUAAGCGGAGGA